GAGCCCUGCAGAGCAAAGGAAGGCCCAGAGUUAAUCCCACUGCUCGUAGUGGCACUUCAGCGGCAAUCGGAGAGACAGCAGAACGAACCCGGCCGGCAAGAUUUAUGAGGGGUGAUAAAAAGCUAAUUCAGAGUCGUUUAAGGAUGUUUUGAAUUUGCAGCAGUGCAUAGAACAGUUUGCCACAGAGCUCGGCCCUCCCUGACAGAGCCUAAACAGACGCUAAAUGCAAGUCCAUCAUGCACGUCCAUCAUGCACGUCCAUCAUGCACGUCCAUCAUGCACGUCCAUCAUGCACAUCUCCUCAGUUUUCAGUGAUAUGAAGUCCUGGUUUUUCUCCUCCACAAGCAAUCCUAAACUGUGAAGAAUGAGCCCUCUCCUAAUUUACGUAAGACAGAAGAGGAAGGAGUUGAAAUCUGCGUUCUCAGAAGGGCACUGGAGUCAUACUAUCUUCACCAGACUCACACUGCCAAGACCAGAGCUCUAAAAAUUCACUGGUACCUCAAAAUAAACCUGAGUAAAUAAAUGGCCCACCUUAAGUUCAAUUAUUAGGGGUGAAUUGUCUGCAUUUUGCCUACCUUGCCUUUUUUAAAGCUUCAGAACUCUUCUACCUUCUAAGGAUUUUCUUUACACUCUCAAAGACUAGCAAUGUACCUCUUUUUGCUUCUUUAAUAUGGAAUUAAGAUCUCUACCUACUUUUUCACAAAAAAACUCACCAAAGAAAAGACAUUGGACUUAAAAGUGGGACACUGGUAAUAUUCAGAGGAGAAAAAUUGCCCAGAGAAAUUUCUCCUGCCUAUUGUUUGUUGCCUACACAGUGCAACUUGAGAAUGUCUGCUGAGCUCAAGCAUGUGUGUGCCACACUGACCACCUCCCCCACAGCAGCUGGAAAAAAUGAUGCUAAGCUCUCAAGCCAUCCCUUUUUUGCUAUUUCAUUUACUUACUUUCAUUUCAUUUUCCUUCAGCAUUAGCACAACUCUUUCCUUGUUGGGACACCAUCUGUGACAAACUGCACAUACACACAAUAUGCUUUUCCCAAAACAUCCAUCAAGCUAUGUAAACUGAAUUCAGUGACUGCACGCAUGUGCCCUCUGGGACUCUCAUUUUACAGACAGGAAAAGACAUUAAAACAGCAAAUGUAAGCAAGUAUCACACUAAGCAAUUAAAAAGUAAUAAAUGCCAGUUAUUUGGAUUGGAAAAGCUCUUCUAAGAAUGUUCCUCAGUGGAAAAUGGAAAGUAUUUUGAAUGGCCCCCGUGCCUAUUGGAAGCUACAACGGGUGACAUCGAGUUCUUGCUAAAGCACAAGAACAAGACAGAAUCCAAGAAGCAAGUUAGAAAUAUCUUAUGAAUAUGAGCAAGUUAAACCUUUUUGAAAACAUUUGCAGACCAAAAUGAAAAUAAAAGUAGGACAGUAACUUCAUCAAAUAUGAAGAAGAAGCAGGUUUACGUUUCAUCAACAUUCAACAUCUUAUUCUUCCAGGAUGCUCUCAAUUGCUCUCCACACAAAACCUCAUUAUAAGAGAUUUUAAAAAAAGGUAAUUUUGUUUUACUGAUUUGUCCACUACAAUUGUGUUGCCUCAGUCAAGAGGUCAGGAGAAGAAACAAACCAUUUAGUCUCAAAACCCUGUAUUAGCAACAGUCAAGUUAUUUUUUAUAUUUUGGAGGAAAUAACCUCAAACAAAAUCUUAGAUGCAGAUCUUUCAAAUCUACUUUCAGGUAAAGUACAAAACUGACAGAAAUAAACUCGCUGAAGGAAAUAAGAUGUUUUAAAAAUUGUUUAUGUUUCAUAUUCUAUUGCUUCCUCAGUUCACAAACUGGGAUCUUUUACGGUAUUAUCUUGUCAGGAUGAAUGUUCAAAUAAUGUUGUCAACUUUUAAUAUGCUGAAUGUUCACACAGGAAUGAAGAGUUCACCAUAUACCUGAGGCACUUAUCCUGUCUCUGCACUGAUCAAAUACAUGAUGCUAUCAGCAAACUAAUUUUCUUUUAUUACAAAUCUCUCACCAACUUCAAGGGGAAAAAGAAAACUAGACACUGUUUGAGAGAUUUAAUUAACAUGAAGUAUGUACUUAGGCCAACUUCUGCCUGCUUAUGAGAAUUUUGAAGUGGAACAGGCCAAGGACUGUAAAAUGAGCUAAUAAAGAACAUGCUACUUAAACUCAUGUACUUACAGCCUUGCACAGGUUACAUAAUGCUAAAACAAAAAUUAAUAAACUUAAGCCUCUCAUUUCCUAUCCUGAAAAACACAAACUCGAGUGAAGGGAGACAUUCCCUAUUCAGCUGGAAUUCCUUCAUAAGAAGCAGAGGGGGAAAUACAAUCCAGUACAAAUGUUUGGACUAGGGAUAAAAAACAAACAUCAUAUGCUGCUUAAAGAUAGACUAUGGUAUUAUUCUGAGUGAUGCAGUAAGGAGAAACCAAAGGAAUUAGCUUCUCCAAAGACCUCUGGGGUAAUGCUGACAAUACCAGAGAACAAUUUAGCUUAUUUUCAACUUGCAAGAAAGGAAAAAGAACAGUAAACAAGAGCCCAAAAAGGCCAUGCAGCCUGACAGGAACUCCCAUUGUCAGGAGGUCAAUCCACCAUUUUUUGCUGCUCACUGUAACCACUUCCUAACCAUGCUAUAAAUCCUAACAUUUCUUACUAACAUUCCCCUCUGCCCCGCUCAGGUGUGACCCCAGCUGGAGCUCCGGGGACCCAGCACAAGACAGACAUGGACGUGCUGGAGUGAGGCCACAGCAGGGACACAGAAAUGGUCAGAAGGCUGGAACACCCCUCCAGUGAGGAAAGACAGAGCGCUGGGGUUGUUCAGCCUGAGAAACAGAAACCUCCAGGGAGACCUUAGCAGUAUUUAAAGGGGCUUGUGAAAAAGACAAAGAAGGACUUUUACCAGGUGACAGAACAAGGGACAGUAGUUUUAAACAAGAAGACAUUUUAAUUGGACAUAAGGAAGACACUGUAAACUUGUCUUUAAACAUUGUAAACAUGAGUGUGGCGGGAAGUUGGAUGUCCCAUCCCUGAAAGUGUUCAAGGGGAGCAAAAGGAAUCAGAGCACCACAAAAUCAAAUACUAGAGCUUGUCCCAGGAGAGGCAGGAGAGGGGGAAGAAAGGACAGAGGAGAACUUCUCUGUUCCAGCAGCAACAAGAUGUCACUCCAAUGUCCCUUCAGUGUCAAUUAUUUUAUGUGUGCAAAGCCUUGAGUGAGUCUCAACUUUACCUGUCCAUCCAUCUUCCUUAAAAUAAUGGGACCUUAACUGCC